rnacentral:tRNA from 1 species
GGUCCCAUAGCUCAGCUGGUUAAAGCGUCGUACUAAUAAUGCGAAGGACGAUAGUUUGAGCCUCUUUAAAACCA